CGUGUAGGCGGUCAGGUAAGUGGAAUGUGAAAUGCCCCGGCUCACCCGGGGACCGGCAUCCCAAACUGCCUGGCUUGAGUAUGGGAGAGGAUGGAGGAAUUCCUGGUGUAGCGGUGAAAUGCGUAGAUAUCAGGAGGAACACCGGUGGCGGAGGCGUCCAUCUGGCCCAAUACUGACGCUGAGGCGCGAAAGCUAGGGGAGCAAACG
rnacentral:rRNA from 1 species